rnacentral:lncRNA from 1 species
GCAGUAAAGGGUAUGGGUAUUGCUGCAAUGAGGUUAACACGUAUCACACCCCUGAGAUGCCACAUGGGACCUCACCUGUGGUCCCUGGUGUUGGGGACAGGGAUGCCAGCAUGAAAGGGCUCACCUGGGCAAAAAGGUAAUCAAUGACGGGGUAGUCCAGGACAGGGCUGGCCCGGUCGUUCAGCAGCUGGAAACGGUGGGACUGCCCACACCAGCUGGGGAACAAGAACCUGAUGGGGAGAGCAGAGGAGGCCUCAGCGCCACAUCUCCCGCAGUGCACAACCUCUAUCAGCCAUCAGAGACUCCCCAGGGAGCCGUGCUGGGGCUGUACCUGAUCCUGUAUACCACGACCUGGCUGCAGGACUCAUCGACAGUGAAGAGGUGGUUGGGAGGGAACCAGCAGCUCAGGUCCUCAGUGGCCAGGGCGAAAAGUGGGUGGCACAUGGGCAGCACACCUGGGCACAGGAACAGUGCCAUGACCCCCCAGGGAACAGGUGCGUCCUUUACCUGCGGCACCAGGAGCUGAUAGGCACAGCUGGUACCCGCGGCACCGGGGCUGAUGCUUACUGCAGGCUUUGGCAGCGCGGACGCAGAGCUCCUCGGCCGUGUACUCGCCGAAGGUGAAGGUGAGGACACCAGGAGCGCCGGGGGGGCACCCGGUGGUACAGGCCCUGAAUCGAUCCCAGGAAUGGGCAGGAGGACUCAGCUUCAUCUCCGUGCUCAGCUGGGCUGGAUGGACCUCAUGGAGCCCCCUGGGCUGGUCACCAUGGGGCUGGUGCAUGCCUGGUCCCUGUGCCGUGCAGCAUCGCACGUACCCGCUGACGGAUGUGGCUGGGCCCAGCAGCCACCGCUCGUUGUUUUUCCCUUUUCUGCUGCUCUAACCAGCUCAGCAAGGAGGCAAAGCCAAGGGUGAGGAGGGAAGGGGGUCCCUGGGGACACAGGCUGGGGACAAGGCCACAAGCUGGGUUCAAAUCCCAGGGACCAGGGGCUCUCCUCUGCCUCCAUGCUCAGUGAUGCCCCG